UAAAUCCGUCAAUUCU
rnacentral:sRNA from 1 species